UACAGAGGUCUCAAGCGUUGUUCGGAAUCACUGGCUUAAAGCGCGUGUAGGCGGGACGGCACGUCGGUCGCUGAAAGCCCCCGGCUCAACCGGGGAACGGGCGCCGAUACGACCGCCCUGGAGGAACGUAGGGGGACCUGGAACUUCCGGUGGAGCGGUGAAAUGCGUUGAGAUCGGAAGGAACGCCCGUGGCGAAAGCGAGGUCCUGGACGUUUACUGACGCUGAGACGCGAAAGCCAGGGGAGCGAACGGG
rnacentral:rRNA from 1 species